GACGAACGCUGGCGGCGUGCCUAAUACAUGCAAGUAGAACGCUGAAGAGAGGAGCUUGCUCUUCUUGGAUGAGUUGCGAACGGGUGAGUAACGCGUAGGUAACCUGCCUUGUAGCGGGGGAUAACUAUUGGAAACGAUAGCUAAUACCGCAUAACAAUGGAUGACACAUGUCAUUUAUUUGAAAGGGGCAAUUGUUCCACUACAAGAUGGACCUGCGUUGUAUUAGCUAGUAGGUGAGGUAAUGGCUCACCUAGGCGACGAUACAUAGCCGACCUGAGAGGGUGAUCGGCCACACUGGGACUGAGACACGGCCCAGACUCCUACGGGAGGCAGCAGUAGGGAAUCUUCGGCAAUGGGGGCAACCCUGACCGAGCAACGCCGCGUGAGUGAAGAAGGUUUUCGGAUCGUAAGGCUCUGUUGUAAGUCAAGAACGGGUGUGAGAGUGGAAAGUUCACACUGUGACGGUAGCUUACCAGAAAGGGACGGCUAACUACGUG
rnacentral:rRNA from 1 species